rnacentral:lncRNA from 1 species
AUUCCUCCCACUAUCUCUGUCCGCAGUUCCCCAGGCCGUUGCCUCCCUGCCGCCGCUUUCUCUCCUGGGCGCGUCCCCGGCGAGCCGAGCCCCCUCCCCAGCCUGCGACUGCGCCUUAGGCCCCGAGCGCCCCGCCCCACCCGAGAAGCUGCGCUGAGGCUGCCCCACAGGGCGCAGGCCCCGACCCUCAGCGUCCACCGUCUGCUGCCUACAUCCGCCCGCCCGGCGUCCGACCCCUUCAGCGGCGACGGGCGGAGCUGGAGCCCCGGGCCUGGGCGCCAGGUGGGCUCCUGGGAGGGUGAUGAAGCAGGCCCUGGUGGACGAUACCGAGGAUGUGUCCCUGGACUUUGGAAACGAGGAGGAGCUGGCCUUUAGGAAAGCCAAGAUCAGAGACCGGGUCUCAAAACUCCUAGCCUCAGUGAUCCUCCUGCCUUGGCCUCCCAAAGUGCUGGGAUUAAAGAUGAGGAAACUGAAGUUCCCAAGAGCCAGGUAGCAGACACAAACACCCCUUGGCCACCUUUUUCCACCUGUUUUUCCGAGUGAGUGCCAUCGUCACCUACGUGAGCUGCGACUGGUUCAGCAAGA